rnacentral:lncRNA from 1 species
UGGUUUUUGUUACUCUACUUAUACAAAGCUUUUUGACACACUUGUAUGGUCAGUCAUCGAUUAUGGUGCUUCAAUAUGGGGAACAAGAGAACUCUCUUGCAUAAAUGCCGUUAAAAACAGAGCGAUGAGAUUUUUUAUGGGUGUAGGAAAGUAUACACCAAACUUAUCUCUGUAUGGUGAUAUGGGCUGGAUUCCAUGCAAUGUAAAGCAAUGGACAGCUGUUUUUAGAUUAUGGUCCAGAUUUUGUAAAAUG